CCUUUUCCUUUCCUCUCCCAACACGCAACCUAUCCUUUCUCUUCUUUCCCGUUCUUCCAUCGGGAGGAGGGGCGAAGGAGAAAGAGAAGGAGGUGGGGCAGAGGAGAAGGAGGAGGGGACCUGCGAGCACGCCACCGGCCGUGCGCCUUGAGGGAGGAUUGGGUGAGAGGAGAAGGCGGCGGCGGUAGUUUCGAUUUGUGACCUGCCACCGGCGCCGCCACAAGGACGGAUGACAGGAUCUGAGGUGAGACUGAUCCCUCCCCUCUUCUCGUGUCCCGUGGAGGACGAUGACAGUGCAAGCAAUGAUGGCCUCAUAUCGGUGGCGAAGCAGGAGACAUGUUCCUCGAGGCGUCGAUGAGCUCUGGCAAGCUCCAGAUUGAGGGCUCCCUCAGCUUCAAGAGGUUGAGGUGGUGGAGACCACCGUUCCAUGGUGUCAUUGAUGAGGAAGUCCAGCCGUCUUCGUGAUGGUUUCACCUGCAUCGAUCCCCUUGUAUCGCUAAAAGUCCUCCUCCCACGUCCUUCCACAGAUUUUUUUUCAACCCUCCGAAAACCAAACGGUUCCAUAAAAAAACCGCUUCGACCUCCACUCUGACGAUCGACGAGAUGAGGCAGACAGGCACGCGGCCUGCGAUCCCUCCUUCCCGCACCCGCUCGUGGUAAAACCGCACCUCCCCCUCCCCAUCAUGAUCUAUCUCUGGCGGAUGAGAACCGCUGUCCCCCAGUCCCAUCACAUCGUACGUGCCAAUUGAAUUCCCUCCCUUCGUUCUUUCACAUGUCACAUGUUUUUCAGAGCGAGGAUCCUGUCCUCGCUCUCACCCGCGCCACCACAGAUCGUGACCCGGCGAUCUGUUCGUAAACAAGCUCGGCGGCGCAACAUGAAGUGCUCGUAAGCAGCGUGUGUCCGGCUGCUAUGCUGCUGGUCGGACUGAGAUCUUGGCGCAGCUGCGUAGCAAGCUGGUGUGUAGCAGCGGGGAGGAAGAGCUCGGCCGUCGUCGACAGCGUGGCCGGCUGAUCUGUGGGGCGUGGAAGUUGAGGUGGAAAGAAGCACGAUGGACUGCUCUAUAGUGGGUCAGAGGUAGCGCUUUAUAAGACUCUAAUAGAGGGAGGAACCGAGGAAGGGAGUUCUACUGGCUCUUGCAUGGCAUCCAUGGCAUCAUGCCCAUGUAAAGGGUCUGCUAACAUGCAUUGUGGUUCUUAUCAAGGUUGCACGUGGUCGUAACACUAACGAAAAUUAUGUGUCCAUGCUGCGAAAAUUGCAUAUAUGUUCGAUUCAUAUGCAGAUACAAUAUCAUUGGCUUUGAGCCCUUGACUAGAUCAUUCUUCCCCGGCUGGUAAUUUUGCAUUUACUUUGAGUGGUUACAAAGCUCUGAAGUAUGCAUCUUGAGGAGUUUACUCGAUGAAGACAGAAGUGUUCAGCUUUGGCGUUUAGGUUCUCGUGAUUAUUAGUGGCCGAAAGAAUACCGUGCUCGACAAGCAAGGGGAUAUUGUUGGUGAUCUUGUACGAGAUGCCUGGCAUAUGUUGAAGGAGCAAAGGUUGCAUGAGCUUGCAGAUCCAUUGUUAGCGGACGGAUAUGAAAUCACUGAGAUAACCAAAGAGGGA